GAAAUGCGAUAAGUAAUGUGAAUUGCAGAAUUCCGUGAAUCAUCGAAUCUUUGAACGCACAUUGCGCCCUCUGGUAUUCCGGGGGGCAUGCCUGUCCGAGCGUCAUUGCACACCCUCAAGCGCGGCUUGUGUGUUGGGCCCCCGCGUCCUUGCCAUUUAAAGGACGGGCCCGAAAGGCAGUGGCGGCGUCGCGGUUAUCCGAUCAGCCAGAGCGUAUGGGGACUCUGUUCACACGUUCGGGGCGCGGACCACGCCAGUCCGGUUAACAAUCUUUCUUCCAAGGUUGACCUCGGAUCAGGUAGGGAUACCCGCUGAACUUAAGC
rnacentral:misc_RNA from 1 species